UCCGCAAAUGGUGGUGUCCAUAGCCACACCGAGUUACUCCAUGAGGGGACGAUUUCAUAUAACAACUUUGCGACAGCAAUAGAGACACACUCCUCAAGUCGUCACCGGCAGCGGUGGGAGGUGAUGGGCGGGGGCGGCCUGUGGAGAUUUCAGUGGAGGAAAGAAAGAAAGUCGGGAGAAGGGAAGACUCAGCGGCAGAGAGGAGCCCAGUCGGCCAGAGAGGUGGGAAGAACGCUCCGAGCUGGAGGAGGAGGAUCCUGCCCCAGCGGCUGGGGGGGCGUGUGGCUUGAGCAGGCAGAUUGCCCGGUGCUCAGCCAGUGCCAGUGAGACCCCGAGGGACUGGGCCGAACCAAGUGCCGCGAAAUGUCAAAGCAACCCAAGGAGAAAACUCGGAGCUGUGCCAGCUGUGGCCAUCACUGUGCAUGGGGCCAGCGCCAGCCUGGCUGGCUGGUGGGUGCUGCCGAGGGGAUUUCAGCACCAUUGGGAGCCAGGGAGGGCUCCGUGCCAACGGGCAGCAGGUGCAUCACACAUACAAGGCUCCCCGGCGCUGGUCUCGCCGUACUCGUCACUACAGGGUGUCUGGUAAGGUCUCUGCUGCAAGCCUGGGGCAGAUUGCGAAGCUCGGCGUCUGUACAAUUAGGGGCUGCAGGUCUGGCACUAAAAGGGGUGCACAGACACCUGGCAGGCCCCCUUCUCGCUCCUCGGCGGCUCAUGUGCCAAUUUCACAACCGUCACCCAUUGACAGAUGAAACAAAAUGCUACU